rnacentral:rRNA from 1 species
AAUGGAGGCAACUCUGAUCCAGCCAUGCCGCGUGCAGGAUGACUGCCUAUGGGUUGUAAACUGCUUUUAUAUAGGAAGAACACUCCCACGUGUGGGGGCUUGACGGUACUAUAUGAAUAAGGAUCGGCUAACUCCGUGCCAGCAGCCGCGGUAAUACGGAGGAUCCAAGCGUUAUCCGGAAUCAUUGGGUUUAAAGGGUCCGCAGGCGGCCUGUUAAGUCAGAGGUGAAAUCCUACAGCUCAACUGUAGAACUGCCUUUGAUACUGAUAGGCUUGAGUUAUUGUGAAGUGGUUAGAAUGUGUGGUGUAGCGGUGAAAUGCUUAGAUAUCACACAGAAUACCCAUUGCGAGGGCGGAUCACUAACAAUAUACUGACGCUCAUGGACGAAAGCGUGGGGAGCGAACGGGAUU